CUAGGUAUGUGAUUGUGUAUUGUGGUUAAAGAAAUACGUAUUUAAGACAUACCACAUUAUGAAGUAUUUAUGGGAGAAAUUGUAUAUCCAGAUUUGCUUCAAAAUACUGAAGCAAAGAAAUGUGGGAAAGAUAAGUGAACAACAAUAUGCUAAAAAUGGUGUUUAGUAUAUUAGCAGUUUAUUACACUAUUCACUUUAUUUUUUAAAAUUGAACAUUCUCAUUUUAUUAUGGAAAUGUUCAAAUAUACACAACAAAAGAAGUGCUGCUGAAUCAUAUGCCAUCAUUUCAGGGCAGUUAGGAAGAGACUAAUUGGAAACAAUGGAACCUACACAGUAGCACAAUACAAUUCUGUUUUGAAAAGCAAAGAUAAGCUCAUGAGAAAGCACUUUUAUUUCCUCCUAACUGCCUGAAGAAGUUAAUUUGAAACAUGCAAAAGAAAGAUCAUUCUGAGAAGAAAGCCAUGUGAGAGGAGGGAAGCUGACCAUUGAUCACAGGCUGGAUAUUCUGGGAAAGAGAAACAGACAAUGUGGAUAAUGCAUAGUUCCUAUCGAGUCGCACGAAGGCAAAGGGUAGAAGUGGUCCCUUCACUUUUUCCGUUUUAAUGUGGACUCCCUGCACUGGUGAAAAUGAAGAGAAUAAUGCAGAUAACAAUCCAGGAGAAGAAACUCUUGAGAGGAGGAAAACUUGUUGAGCUUCCUCUUAAAUUGAUGUACAAUAUUUACUUCUGUUGCUGACUCCAGCACUUUGUUCCAUCUCAUUAAUUCAAGGAGUAAGAAACAUCAAGGAACAUCAGGAACAUCAUUAAUCCAAAGACCAUUUCUGGCCAUGCCUAAGUGAAGCUAUUAAAGAUAUUUCAAGAUCUGACUAAAACAGU
rnacentral:lncRNA from 12 species